rnacentral:rRNA from 1 species
UACGUAGGGUGCAAGCGUUAAUCGGAAUUACUGGGCGUAAAGGGCGCGCAGGCGGCGCAUUUUGUCAGGCGUGAAAGCCCCGGGCUUAACCUGGGAACUGCGUUUGAUACGGAUGGGCUAGAGUUCGGGAGAGGAGAGUGGAAUUCCCAGUGUAGAGGUGAAAUUCGUAGAUAUUGGGAAGAACACCGGUGGCGAAGGCGAACUUUCUGGUCUGUAACUGACGCUGGACGGCGACGAAAGCGUGGGAGCAAACAGGG